rnacentral:lncRNA from 1 species
AGGGAGACUCUGGCUUUGUUCCUAGUUAUGCCACCCCUGAAAGCUAAUGGCCCAGUUCAAACAGGCCUGGACUCAAACAAAGACCAAGAACUGUGGGCCCUGAGAAAAGCUUUUCUUUCUGGUCUGAAGAGCAGGAAGAGGGCCCCUGCGGGAUACAGAGAUUUGGAGGGAAUCUCCUCCCUCAUUUUAACUUUCUCUCCCAUCUCAGCCCCAGAUUGUGAAGUUGGCACGAGCCCAGCUCAUAAUGGAUAGACCUAUGGCUGACUAUGAGAAAAGGUGUCUGAAGGAUGGCCCAGAUAGCAAAACAAAUAAGCCAGUAAGCAAACAAAUGGGGGAGCCCUGGAGUUGGACCGCCUGUCUAUAAAUCCAGGCUCUGCUACCUACUCGAUGUGGGAUGAUCCUGUGGACAUUGCUUAGUUUUUUACCACCUUACUGGGUUCAUUUAUAAAAGGUAUCCUAAUGUAAAGUACUACAGGAGAUUAAAACAAAAAACUCACCAGCAACUAUAGUAGUAUGCCAGUACUUUCUCAUCAUGGAUUACAUAAGAUGAUAGUAUGUGACAAAAAUGUGCAUCUUAGAAUUGGAGAAAUAUGGUAAUAUAUAUUUCGUUUGGCUUUUCUGAUGAUUAAAGAGUUGUUAAGGCCAGGUGCAGUGGCUUGCAUCUGUGAUCCUGGCACCUCAGGAGGCCGAGGUGGGAAGAUAGCUUGAGCCUAGGAGUUCAAGACCAGCCUGGGAAACAUAAUGAAAGCCUG